GCGAGGGUGGUGAAACUGGUAGACACGCCAGACUUAGGAUCUGGUGCUUUUAGCAUAGGGGUUCAAGUCCCCUCCUUCGCA
rnacentral:tRNA from 1 species